rnacentral:rRNA from 1 species
GACGUAGGGCGCGAGCGUUGUCCGGAUUUAUUGGGCGUAAAGAGCUCGUAGGCGGCUUGUCGCGUCGACUGUGAAAACCCGCGGCUCAACUGCGGGCUUGCAGCCGAUACGGGCAGGCGUAGGAGUUCGGUAGGGGAGACUGGAAUUCCUGGAUGUAGCGGUGAAAUGCGCAGAUAUCAGGAGGGAACACCGGUGGCGAAGGCGGGUCUCUGGGCCGAUACUGACGCUGGAGGAGCG